GAACACACGCAGCGCAGCGCAUGAGUAUUUGUCAUACCACUGAUGCUCGGUGUUCUAGGGUUUCUUCCUUCCAAAGAAAUGCCUUCAACAUAUUGAUGCUCGCUCGGUUACAAUUCCAACCAUUUUGAUUUAUAUCAUUUUUGCGUGCAGUGAUUCUGUCCCUUCUUCUUUGAUUUCAGGUAUGAUUUGUGGUCCAAUUGGUUUUCAGAUGUGUAUUGGUUUUCAAAUUUAGUUUAUGUACUAAAUUUUUAAUGGAUAAAUGACUAAUUUUUGUUGUUCUUAUCAAUUAAUUAAUACUCCUACUUUGAGUUCAUGUAUUUUUUAUUUGAUUGGAUUUUGAAAAGAAGUAAAAAAAGUUUUGUUUUUUUUUUUAAUUUUAAAAUAAGUAUAACCUUUUGUGAACCUUUGAUUCAUAACUAUGGAUACAAAUGUUUGUCUACGUAUAUAUCAAUUUUGAAGAGGCCGGAAUGUUUGAUCACUCACGCAAAAAUGGUGUGAAUUACUGGUUGGUGUUGCUACCCACGAGCAUCAGCAGCAAUACUUCAAGAAGAAGGAAAAAGUUUGGUUCAGACAGAGCUAUCUUUUGAUUUCCAGAUUGUUUGAGCUUUUGAAGGUUAUUUAUAUUCUUGUCAUAUUUACGAGUAUAAUUGACUGUAAUGAGAUUUCAUUUUUUAUGAGUUGAUUAAUGUUUUCUAUUUUAUAUUCUCGUAAUGAUGUAUUUAAUCAGGAAUGUCCCAUUAUAAUAUUAGGUUCCCCCCUCUCUAUUGUGCUUGUAUGAAUGUAGUCCUUCUUUGAUAAAGGUGAUGGAUAUUUUUUUACUUUAAAUUUUUAUUGGCUGUACUUUGUCACUUCAUCAUUUUCUCUGAGAUCUAUGCAUUUACUUUAUCUUCAGUAAUUGAUAGAACACUUGGAAACUUGACCUUCUGAUCAAGAUCUGCAUUAUAUUACAGAACUUAUUUAAUCAGAGAUUCUUCUCUAUUGAGAAGUAAUAUGCAUUUCUCCUAAAAUCAUGCUAUAUAUGAGCUUUCUGUUUUGUAACACAAGGAUGGGCCUUCCAUUCAGUAACUGUAUGGCUGCUUAAUUACUAAAUGAUACAUUUGAAACCGAAAAGCUUAUAGUUUCCCGAGUAAUAAGGUCUUACAACACCCCGAUUAAAUUACCAAAUUACUCUCCAGUCUCCAGUUAGAAUUCUUGGUACUAAUUGGAGCUAUCGUGAAAAUAUGAAUUCUAGGUGCUCUCCACUAACUAAAAAUGUUAAGUAGCGAUAUAUGUAGAAAUACUCACUUUUUUCUGGAGGCAGCUUUAACUGUCAAUUUAAUUGCUGUCUACAUCUACCAUUAAAUUAAAUCCAAAAAUAGUAAUAGGAGUGCAUAGGCUGACGGUGAUGACACUAAGUGGUAGGUCAGAUGAGAUCAGAUUAUCAUAAAUGUGCACCAUCACUCAAAAUGAUAACUUCUCAUAAUCAAUAUUAAAUAACUUAGACUACGAAUGAUAUAUGCAUGUAAUGUAUGUUCCAUAUAAAAAGACAGUAGUAUCUGUUGCUGCACUAAUCCCACGUUGAAGGGGAGUAACACUUAAAAAAGCUGUACUACAUGUUGGGCCACCCCACCUAAUGACAUAAACCUUAUGAGUUGGAAACUUAACAUGAUUAGAGCCUAUACUGUGUUGGAAUCCCUCUUGGGGUCACACCCCAUCACCAAAUUCUCCACUUGACAGAGCUCGAUAAGAGGCCUGCUAGGCUGCUAGUAAGGGGGAGUAUUGGUGAACUAGUUUGUGCUUCAUAUCUCUCCUUCCUAGUGUGUGAUUGGGAAUUUACCAUGUGCACUAACAUGGAUUUGGUGUGAAUAUCUGUAACUAUAAUUAGAUGUCAUUAUUUGUCAUCACUAUUACUUCACUGGGUGCUUAGAGGACUACAGUCCAAUUCUGCGAGGUUGAUGGAUUUUCUUCCUUAAUUUCUAAUUUUGUAUUAUGUGUACUUGUCACUUGACUAGUUCAUUUUCUAAGAAGUAAAGGGUUUCUUUUUUUCUUCAGCAUGUUCUAUAAAGAGAUCUCUGAAACUUGACCUUUUGAUCAAAAAUCUGUGCAUUAUCUUUCAGAAUUUUUCUAAUCGGAGAUUCUUGUUUAUUGAGAAAUUAUCUAUGUUUUUGCAGCUCGUUAUGUUAUGUGAGACUUGGACUCCACGAUUCAUUGGAGACUUGUUUUUCCUUAAAUCUUGCAAUACAUGAGAUUUGCGCUUGGUAACAGUAGGAUAUAACAUACCUUCAGAAAAGUGAAGUUUUUUGUAUGAGUUGGGCAUUACAGGACGUCUGACAUUGGCCAAUGAGGAGAUUAGGCGGCAGUUGAAAGAGCUGCUCGAAAAGGGUCAUGGUUGGCCAAUUACAUCCUCUUGUGCCUCGCUCCUUAGAGGUCUUGGUGCUGAAGAAGGCUCGUGGCGCAAGUGCGUGGAUUAGGAUUAUCGCGCCAGAUCACAGUAAAGAAUCGCUAUCCUUUGCCAAGGAUAGAUGUCUGAUUUCCAUUUGACUAGUUGAGGGAGCCCGUUACUUGAUCACCAAGUGCAAGUGGUGGAAGGCUGCUACACUACCAAGGUCUAAGGGAUGUAUUUGGAAUAUAAAAGUUCCAAAAGGAAUCAGCACAAAAAGCCCCUUUAGCUAAAUUAGAUAUGAGACCAUUUUACCAUCCAAUUAGAUAUCUUAGUAAUUGGAGUUAUUAUGAAAGCAGGACUCUCCGUUGACCACAAGUAUUAAGUAGUCCAAUAUGAUAGAAUUACUUUGUAUUUUUCUUGAGGCAUGUUUAGCUUUUCAAUUUUUAAAUUAUGUUUUCGUGUAAAUUUGUUGGUUCUCGAGUGCAUUAUUUCCCAUCUUUAUUGGGUAAGAUCAGCUAUUAUGGCUUGCUUUGUCUUCUACACAACAAAGUAGUGCAUCUCUCUUUAUACUUGUCUGUAGUAUCUUUAGGGAAUUGAUAUUUCCACAAGGCUUCGCUCACAUGAAUGUGGGUCCCGUUUACUGAGAGGAGCUUUGUGGAAAUAUCAAUUCCCUAUUUUUAUGCUUCUGUGAUAUAUGACGUUGAACAACUACUUUGUGUGUAGAUGCUUUAGCAGGAAUAAAUCCACAUCUACUUUGUGUGUGGAUGCUUUAGCAGGAAUAAAUCUACAUCAAGUGAAAGAGGACGAUGAGCAAACUCCAAAUGUUGGUAAAAUGGAACCAUGGUUGGUGAUGGUUUGGGAGACUGCUUAUCUGUCAGAACUGAGCUCAGGCUUGUGGACAGAAAUGCAUCAACCUCCGAGCUGUAAUCCUACUGAAACUCCUCCAUCCCAGUUGCAAACUAAAAUAAACAAGAGAGUCCUCCACUUUUAUUUCCAAAUAUUUUUGUUAUAAUAGACUUUAGUCACUUUAGUUACUUUUUUUGCCUUGUGUUUAUUUUGAGUGCUGGAAGGAAAUUUUAACUUUAAAAAGUGUAUAGGCACACACAAAUAUGUCACCAACUCUAUGAAAACAAUUUUCUACAAUUCUAAUUAAUGUAAAAUUGUUGUUGCAUGUAAUGAUAGAAUGCAGAUUAAUACUCCAUUUGUUUCUAAAAGAUUGUCGUUUAAGGUUAAUGCACACAGAUUAAGGUAUUAAUUAC
rnacentral:lncRNA from 1 species